GUGGUAAGGCUCGAACACAGAAUAUUCAUCAUGGAGUUCAGCGUGAUCUGUGUUUUCCUUUUUGCUCUUUUGAAAGGUUCACAGUGUGAGGUGCAGCUUGUAGAGACAGGAGGAGGCUUGGUGAAGCCUGGAAAUUCCCUAAAGCUUUCCUGUGCCACCUCAGGAUUCACUUUCAGUACAGCUUGGAUGAACUGGAUCCGCCAGACUCCAGGGAAAAGACUGGAGUGGCUUGCUAAAAUUGAAGACAAAUCUAAUAAUUAUUUUAUAUCAUAUUUGGAGUCUGUGAAAGGAAGAUUCACCAUCUCAAGAGAUGAUUCCAAAAGCAGCGUUUACCUGCAGAUGAACAACUUAAAAGAGGAGGACACUGUCAUUUAUUACUGUACUUAG